rnacentral:lncRNA from 1 species
CCGGCCGCGGCCCCUGACGCACGCUGCGCCCCGGCCCCCUCCCGGGAGGCGGGCCCCGCCGAGGCAGAGGCGCGGCGACGGGGAGGCGGGGGUGGCGGUGUCUGCGCGCACACGCUCGCUCGCAGACACACACACACACGCACACGCGGGCCACGCCACAGACACACGACACGCACCGAGCCCUGGCCGGGCGCCGCGCGCACUCGCACCCGCGCUCACACUCACACUCACACUCGCGCGCAGGCCCCGCAGCCGCCGCCGCCGCCGGAAGCGGCGCUCGGCCCGGAUCCCGGCUGGGCUGGAGCUCGGAGUCGAACUUUGUAAAGAACUUCUUUCUGCCUCCUCGGAUCCUCAGAGCUGUCCUGUGGGGCGGGCCGGCCGGCUGCUAUCAUGUGACACUUGACAGAUGAGCAAACUGAGGUCCGAAUGGUAAAGCAAGCUGUCUGUUGAUUGAUUCCUUAGCAAGCAUUUGCCCCCAUCUGCCUUCCCCAGCUCGGUGGGU